AAAAAUGCGCUCCAAUCUUUAUUGCAUAGAGAAAGAAAAGGCUUCUACCCUUUUAAUGCUAAGUGAAUUAAACCCGUGUUUUUAAGAAAAAGAGCUUUGUUCCGUUUAAUAAAACUAAACCUGCCUUGUCCUCACCAUGGGACCUGUUCUGUCCCAUGGUAAGGAGAAGCCUGCCUGCUCCUUCUGCUCUCUGUGACAUCUUCUUUUUUCCUCUUUCCCUCUGCAUUCUGCACAUUGCUCUCUUAGUAUUUUAUGUUACCUAUAAUUUCCAAGUUAUUCCACUCUGCAUUCUCCUUCUAAUAUAAAAAGUGUUGUCUAAAAACUUCUCCUCGGGGGCUGGUGAGAUGGCUCAAUGAGUAAGAGCACCCGACUGCUCUUCCGAAGGUCAGGAGUUCAAAUCUCAGCAACCACAUGGUGGCUCACAACCAUCCGUAAUGAGAUCUGACUCCCUCUUCUGGUGUGUCUGAAGACAGCUACAGUGUACUUACAUAUAAUAAAUAAAUAAAUCUUAAAAAAAAAAAAACCUCUCCUCAGCCCAGUUCCUCUCUCAGCUCAGUUCUCACCUCCGUUCCUCUCACCUCAGUCCCUCAAAUCUGACUCUUUGUCCUCAGACCUUAAACAUCUUUAAGAUUACAUGAUCAUAUGUUAAAAAGUACAUCAAAAGUUCACAUAGAAAAUCAAAUAUAAAUUGAAAUAGAAGUUUACAACAGAUUGUUUCCAUGCAUAUCCAUUAGGAGUAGUUAUCUAGCUAAACAUCCAUCACUUGUCUCAGCUCCACAGGUUCACCGAAGGUUUAAAACCACAACUAAAAGCCGGGCGUGGUGGCGCACGCCUUUGAUCCCAGCACUGGAGAGGCAAAGGCAGGCGGAUUUCUGAGUUCGAGGCCAGCCUGGUCUACAAAGUGAGCUCCAGGACAGCCAGGGCUAUACAGAGAAACCCUGUCUCAAAAAAAAAAAAAAAAAAAAAAACCCACAACUAAGUUAUAAGUCAAGUUUUGUAUAGAUAAACCCAGUCAAUAUCUUAUCUUCUGUCCUAGCACCUGUAAUAAAUCGUUAGUUCCCCUUUUAUAAUCUUUGGGUAAUUGUUUUACAACCUCUUGGAAUGUAGGAGAAAGUCUGGUUACCAUCUAAGAGCAAUUAACUGGUGACACUAGGGAGACUGGCAGAGUUCUCAUUGCAGUUUUGACUAUCAGAAAAGGACCUAAUAGCAGUCCUAUUAUAAAAGAGCUUAAUAGUCAUGGAUAUAAUUUUAGGAAUUCUUAUAGGAUCAUUAUUAAGACUUAAGUCAUCUAUUUGUCUAUAUAGCAUCACUAGAAGAUAGUACAACUUCGUUGAUUUACAGAGAUCUACUCCAAAGGGGUGUGCUACUACUUAGUGAUUGUUAUAUAUAUUUAAUAAUAACAGGAGAAGCAUAUUAAUAGCAGGAAUCUCUCCUAAAAUGAGUCCCUUACAGCCUCGCUUAAUAAGGGCUCACCUGUCACAAAUUAUAUAAUAAUCCGAGCCGGGUGGUGGUGGCGCACGCCUUUAAUUCCAGCACUUGGGAGGCAGAGGCAGGCGGAUUUCUGAGUUCGAGGCCAGCCUGGUCUACAAAGUGAGUUCCAGGACAGCCAGGGCUAUACAGAGAAACCCUGUCUCGAAAAACCAAAAAAAAAAAAAAAAAAAAAGAAAAGAAAAAAUAAUAAUAAUCCGAAGCAGGCCACUUCAGGAUGAUCAACUGCUAGUUAUUAGCUUGUCCCAUUAUGGUUCCUGACAACCCUGGCCAAAUUACUCCCCCACCACCACCCACAGGGCUCCUGACUUUCCAGGAACUCUGCAGACCAGGCUGUCCUUUAACUUAGAGAUCUGCCUUUCUCUGCCUCUUGAAAGCUGGCAUUAAAGGCAUGUGCUAGCACUACCAGCCAGUCCUGCUUUCACCCCCUGUUGUUCGAUUACAGGGUGGUGCCACUGCAAGUUUAGCGCAGGCUAUACAAACACAUUGAUUGCUGAGCAACAUCCCUAGCCACACCCCAGUUCAUUGAGGUGUUAGAAGCAACGCAUCUGGCUCACAUUAUAAGCAUUAAGUAGCAAGUCCUGUUUUCAUUUUACAUGCUAGAAGUCUUACCCUGCAGACACGAUGUAUGGGUUUGCUUAGGGUCUCCUAAAUCUCGGUCACUCAUGUAACUACUUUCAAACCGGACUAAGUGCUGCACUCAAAUGCUGAACGUUACCUAUCAGGAAUCGAGCCAGGUCCCUUUCCGCGUCAUGUUAGAAAGGAGAAUAGGGAUAGCAGUGGUGGCGCACGCCUGCACGCCUUUAAUCCCAGCACUCGGGAGGCAGAAGCAGGCGGAUUUCAGAGUUCGAGGCCAGCCUGGUCUACAAAGUGAGUUCCAGGACAGCCAGGGCUAUACAAAGAAAGAGAGAGAGAGAGAGAGAGAGAGAGAGAGAGAGAGAGAGAGAGGAAGAGAGAGAGAAAGAGAGAGAAAGAGAGAGAGAAAGAGAAAGAGAGAGAAAGAAAGAAAGAAAGAAAGAAAGAAAAAGAAAGAAAGAGAGAAGAGAGAGAAAGGAGAGAGAGAAAGAGAGAGAGAAAGAAAGAAAGAAAGAGAAAGAAAGAAAGAAAGAAAGAAAGAAAGAAAGAAAGAAAGAAAGAAAGAAAGGGAAAGGAAAAAGGAAGGGAAGAAACGUUUAUUAGUUCGAAACCUGAAAGCCAUUCAGAAAAUCGCACAAGCAAGACAAAAGGGCUGUCAGUGCAACUCUCGAGUUUGGGCACACCCGGAGAGGUGGCGGCCACGAAGUCACGGUUUUGUCAGUGAAAGGAUCCGGGGCAAGUUUGCGAUCAGUACUGAAGGCUCCGUAUCGCGGACAAUCUCGCUAGAAUCCCGAAAAAGCCUAAACCAAAUCUGGAAGCCCCUCCCUAGGGAGAAGAGUCGCUCAGUUCAGGGCGGAAGUAAUGUCCUGCCCGACUCAACUCCCGCGAUGCACCACGGUAGGCGGAGCCGGAAGUUCGAGUGCAAGCUUGAGCGGGGCGUGUCUAGCUCCGCUAAGGCACCUAAUUGGUCAGUCGGCACAGGCACUGGCGGCGUGCGCGAGUGGUACGGACGUGCGGGAAGAUGGAAGAACUGAGCCAAGCCCUGGCUAGUAGCUUUUCUGUGUCUCAAGAACUGAACAGCACAGCUGCCCCCCACCCACGCCUGUGUCAAUACAAGUCCAAGUACAGUUCCUUGGAGCAGAGUGAGCGGCGGCGCCAGCUACUGGAGCUGCAGAAAUCCAAGCGGUUGGAUUAUGUGAACCAUGCCAGAAGACUGGCUGAAGAUGACUGGACAGGUAUGGAGAGUGGGGAAGAGGAAAACAAGAAAGAUGAAGAGGAAAUGGACAUAGACCCUAGCAAGAAGUUACCAAAACGCUAUGCUAAUCAAUUGAUGCUUUCUGAGUGGUUAAUUGACGUCCCUUCAGAUUUGGGGCAAGAAUGGAUUGUGGUUGUGUGUCCUGUUGGGAAAAGAGCCCUUAUCGUGGCCUCCAGGACUACACCAUUCUGGAUUGCAUUUACAGUGAGGUGAAUCAGACAUACUAUGUUUUGGAUGUGAUGUGCUGGCGGGGACAUCCUUUUUAUGACUGUCAGACUGAUUUCCGAUUCUACUGGAUGCAUUCAAAGUUACCAGAAGAAGAAGGGCUUGGAGAGAAAACCAAGAUUAAUCCUUUUAAGUUUGUGGGGCUAAAGAAUUUCCCGUGUACCCCUGAGAGCCUGUGUGAGGUGCUGUCUAUGGAUUUUCCUUUUGAGGUAGAUGGGCUGCUCUUCUACCAUAAACAGACCCACUAUAGCCCUGGGAGUACUCCUCUGGUGGGUUGGCUGCGCCCCUACAUGGUGUCAGAUAUUCUGGGUGUAGCUGUUCCAGCUGGCCCACUGACCACCAAGCCAGAAUACGCUGGGCACCAGCUCCAACAGAUUAUUGAGCACAAGAGGAGCCAGGAAGACACAAAGGAGAAACUCACACACAAGGCUUCUGAGAAUGGCCACUAUGAGCUGGAGCACCUGUCUACUCCCAAGUUAAGAAAUCCUCCCCACAGCUCUGAGAGCCUCAUGGACAACUAAACUGGACAGCCCAGGAAAGACUGGGGCAGAGGACAGUGAUGAUAGCCAUUAGUGACCUUAUUUCAGAGCAUUCUUUCCAAACCCAGGUUGCCCCCUGUCUGGAAUGUUGGCUCAGACUGUUGUGGGUAGGUCUCUUUUGGAUGGAGUUGGAAUCCAGGUAUAUAUGAAUAUCUCUUGCUGUGUUAGGUAUAUCUUAGGUCCACAGUGUAAAUAUAUGUGAUUCUUUAGACAAAGGUUGCUUGUGGUUAUUCGGGUUUAGACAUUUCUUCCACCUUCCCCAAGUCCCUAGGCUGCCUAUAGCAUGACUAUUGAGAUCCUGGCCCACUUCACCCCCUUUAGCACUCAGACAUUCUGCUGGGUUUCCAGUUGCUGCUAUUGGUAAGGCCAUUUUCUGAAAGGUCUUACCAGGAACUGCAGUUCUUGGUAUUUGAAUAUGUUCCUUCUUCUGAGAAAACAAGUGUGAUUUUUCUACUGUUUAGACCUUUCCAGAGAUAAAAUGCUAAUGGGGUUCAUUUACUUUACGAAAUGUUAGAGCCACUAUCAGGAGAUAAACUUUGUGCUAGGCCUCUGAGGUGUAGGUUAUAGAGGCAGACAAGUCCUUGAGGGGUGUACCAUCCAGCAAGAAAAUAAACCCCAAGAGCAUGCUUUAAUGCAGAAAAGUGCCCAGAGUUUAGGGACAAAGGAAAAGCAGAUUUCACAGAGAAGGAUAAAGCUGGGCUGAGGCCCUGGGGAGGGGCCUAGUGUACUGUGCAAACCAGAAAGCAGGUCCUCAAAGAGUUGCACUAUAGCAGCAUUCCCUGAGAACAGGGUGGGACUUUCUGGAAUCAAGUAGGUUCAACAUGGCUCUGGUAUAAAAAUAGGGGUGGAGAGUUACGGGGAGGAUGCUGGAAGGCAGAGGGAGAUUUUGUCUUAGUGAAAGGAAAUUAAGGAGAAGCCCUGGGGUGAGAUCUAUGAACCAAAGCUCUUCAUCAGCUAUGAAAAUGGGAGAUAGUGUUUAAAAUUAACCAGUUAGUUUUCACUCUGUUCAGAAAGGAUAUUUCAGACCCUGAGGUGGCCUCAGUCUGCAACCCACUCUGAUUUCCACAUUCCUAGUGUUGGGUUCAGUGUGGAAGCUGAGAAAACUCACUUCAGAUUGGGAAGCUUAAAAAUGAAAGCUUUAUUUUCUGAGCACUCUGGGAGGCAACCCGGUUCAGGAUCUGAAUCCCGUCCCCUGAAGGGAGAGUGAACAAUUUUAAAGGAUGGGAACACAAAGCCUGGGGGCAGCUGCUGUGUUAUCCAAUUGUAUUUGGGCAUUAUGGGCUAAACAAGGGAAUACUUGCAGGAGACUGGGUGGCAUCCAGGGCACCUGGCUUCAAGACCCUUAAUUCAUUCUCCCAAACAUUAUGUCGAGAGCUCAGAGUGAUAAGAAAACAAAGGAGUGGGUCAGCUGCACAUAAGUAGGGCAUAACAGGUAACUGAUUAUAUAUUUUUUGCACCUUGGUUUAGGUAACACCAAUUUCUAUAUUCUUUACUGGUUAACAGACAAUUAAGAAAACACUUGGGGCCGGGCGUGGUGGCACACGCCUUUGAUCCCAGCACUCAGGAGGCAGAGGCAGGUGGAUUUCUAAGUUCAAGGCCAGCCUGGUCUACAAAGUGAGUUCCAGGACAGCCAGGGCUACACAGAGAAACCCUGUCUCAAAAAACCAAAAAAAAAAAAAAAAAAAAAAAAAAAGAAAAAAAAGAAAAAGAAAACACUUGGAGGGCUGGAGAGAUGGCUGAACAGUUAAAGAGCACUGGCUACUCUUUCAGAGGUCUUGAGUUCAAUUCCCAGCAACCACAUGGUGGCUCACAACCAUGUAUAAUGGGAUCUGAUGCCCUCUUCUGGUGUGCAGAUGUAUAUGCAGAUAGAGCACUCAUUAAAUAAAUAAAUCUUUAAUCUUUUUAAAAAGAAAAAGGAAAGCCGGGCAGGGGUGGUACACACCUUUAAUCCUAGCACUUGGGAGGCAGGGGCAGGCAGAUCUCUGAGUUCGAGGCCAGCCUGGUCUAUAGAGUGAGUUCCAGGACAGUCAGGACUACACAGAGAAACCCUGUCUCAAAAGAAAAGAGAAGAGAAGAGAGAGAGAGAAAACAUUUGGAGAAGUGAGAUAUGUUCCUUCCUAGGUCUAGGAACAUGAGCCUGUCCUUGAGAUGGCUGCAUCUGGACACCUGUCUCCUUACAAGCUGUCCCAGAGAAGGCUGGGCUCAGAAAACUGUUUACAACAGAAGCUGUUCAGCUAUAGGAAAGUCCCCAGCUCCCCUAGGGUCAGGGACCUUGAAUUUGGUUUCUCCCUAUGAUUAACCGGAGUCUGAAAAUGCAAUGGCAGUACUUGGAAUAAGUUUCUUUGACUUGUGACCAAACACUAGGACUGCUCUUAUUGGACAAACUGACAUCAUCAUCAUUCCCUUCAACAGAAUUAGUGUCCUGUGAAAAGACUUUUAAAGGGAUCCAGGGCAGGUCUUAUGACAUGCAAUGGUCCUUGGAGUUACUGAGCUCUGAAGAGAAAUCUGGUUCCACAGAGCAGUUCAUGCACUGGGACUCCCUCGAGCAUCUGCUCUCUUGGGCAUAAGCUGCUUUGAUCAGACAGGGAGGACCUCCUUUUACUCUCCCAGUGAGAGAGCCUACUAGCAUUUGCCUACACAAGGUCUUUCUAGAAUUAAGAUCAGAUUGCAAUAUGAAUAUAGUAAUGUUCCUUACGUCAAGGAAUAUGUAGAAACAUUAGACACUUAGUUUCUUCAUGCUGGCCUUAAACUUGCUUUUCAGCCCAAGCAAAGCCUUGAAUUUUCAAUCCACUCUCGGCCUCCCAAGGAGCUGCCAUUGCAUGUCUUGGCCACCAAGCCCUGACUUGUUUAAUAGUCUUCAGAAUUCUUCAGUCUUCUUUUAGCAGCCAGCUUUACCAAUCUGGGGACUGUGCAUGUCAGUGUCAUGCAAGACCUGGUUUAGUAAUAAGCCCCUAGUUUAGAAAUAAACUUGGCAAAGCCUGGUUUCAAAAUAAACCCAGGUUUUGGGUAUGGUGUCUUAGGUUUAUAAUCCCAGUACUUAGGAAGCUGAGACCGGAGGAUUGCCAUGAUUUUGAGGCUAACCUGGGCUAUAAUGUAAGACACUGUUUCAAAAAAAAAAAAGUAAAACUCAAAAUAAACCUGUAAGGAUGACUUCCUUAAAUCACCCACUCUGGAGACAGAUUCAUGUAUAAAGUCAAAUCAUGUAUCAACUAAAUUCAACAAUAAGCAAAAUUUGAUAUUGUUGAAAUAAAUAUUUCCUAGUAUCUUUAA